UACGAAGGGGGCAAGCGUUGUUCGGAAUUAUUGGGCGUAAAGAGCGUGUAGGCGGCUUGGAAGGUCAGCUGUGAAAACUCGAGGCUCAACCUCGAGACGUCGGUUGAAACCACCUGGCUAGAGUCCGGAAGAGGAGAGUGGAAUUCCCGGUGUAGCGGUGAAAUGCGCAGAUAUCGGGAAGAACACCCGUGGCGAGGGCGGCUCUCUGGGACGGUACUGACGCUGAGACGCGAAAGCGUGGGGAGCGAACAGG
rnacentral:rRNA from 1 species